rfam:Triticum aestivum genome assembly, contig: Triticum_aestivum_CS42_TGACv1_scaffold_500209_6BL
CUUGUACUCCCUCCGACCCAAAAUUCUUGUCUUAGAUUUGUCUAAAUACGGAUGUAUCAAGUCACAUUUUAGUAUUAGGUACAUCCCUAUCUAGGCAAAUCUAAGACAAGAAUUUUGAGACGGAGGGAGUAUACA